rnacentral:lncRNA from 1 species
AGGCUGAAAACCAACAAAACCACAGAACUCUAGUCAGACCAUUCUAGAAAGUAGUAGCACUACGUGAGGACGAGGAAAGAGAAAAGAAUACAACGUCCACCGGGGUGGUGACUGGACUCCAUUACGGACAAAACUAUUAAAACGCGGUGAUGCUACUCUUCAAAAAGAGAACGCCGUAAUAAACCUUCCGGUCAGAUGCCAUU